UGUGGUGUGAAGGACAAGCACAGCACAGAUGUUAAAGAUGAGCCACUGGCAGUGCAGUGAGUGUGCAUCAUAAUUCCAUACUGAAGAGACACAGCAUUUUUAAGGAAAGAAUAUUGUCUUCCUUUCCAUUUCCAAGUGAACACUGAAGGCAAACAUAGCUGACCAUGCCCGUAAAUAAAUUCAGACUCACAUCUGAAAGUCAAUCAGUCUGACUGUUGGACAGUAGAGUCCCUGUCUGUCUUGUUUUCAGGGAGAGGACAAAAUAUCAAGUGCAGAUCCCAUAAGGAUGGGCUUCAGAGAAACCUCCUUGAGUCAGGUUUUAUUCACAUCCUGGUAGUCGUGUUCUAAAGAACAUUACUGUACGAAAGUAAAAUGCAUGGUCUGCCUAACAUUCUUAGAACUGUUAUGUCUGGCUUGGUGGCACAUGCCUAGAAUCCAGUGUUCAGGAAGCUGAGGCAGAGGGCAGGCUGGGUUCUAUCUGUAACAAAAAUAAAACCACAAGUGCUUUCUUCCUACUACCUCACGUUUCUUAGCCCCAAAGAAACUCCAGACUCUUGCUUUUUCUUUCCCUCUUCUCUCUCUUCUCUCUUUCCUUUGUUUCGGUCUUGUCAGAGAACUGUACCUAGGAGGGUACGGUAGGCAGUGUAUCACUUUUUGUGCCAAGGGACAAUAGAUGAUGAUACAUACAUACCUAACAAAAUGGUGAUUGUAAAAUAAUCUCUUAAAUAUUUCUGACACAAAUCGAAAAACCGUGAAACUAGUCUACUAAGUUUUGUCUGCUUUAACCAUUGUUCGUUUCCAUAUGCUCUCCCUAAACCAUGGUUGUCAUACAUUGUCAAUUAUGAAGCAUAAGCUGUGGCUACCAUUUAUCAUCAUUAAGUGGCCCCAGCUUGAGAAACAAAAGGGUACAGUUAAAUCAUGCCCGUUACUGCAUAACAUGACAGCAACGAUCUGAGAAAAUUACUUUGUUGUAUAGUUUUGAAAAUAAGGAUUUAUAUUUUGGAUUUUUUUAAAUGGUAAGUUCUAUUAAAACCUGAACCUACACACCAAACUGUAUGAACUAACUUAAUUAUGAAGAGUUUUAUUUCUGUAUGUAAUUAAAGCUAUUUUUCUACAUU
rnacentral:lncRNA from 1 species